rnacentral:rRNA from 1 species
GACGAACGCUGGCGGCGUGCUUAACACAUGCAAGUCGAACGGAAAGGCCCUGCUUUUGUGGGGUGCUCGAGUGGCGAACGGGUGAGUAACACGUGAGUAACCUGCCCUUGACUUUGGGAUAACUUCAGGAAACUGGGGCUAAUACCGGAUAGGAGCUCCUGCUGCAUGGUGGGGGUUGGUAAGUUGCGGCGGUUGGGGAUGGACUCGCGGCCUAUCAGCUUGUUGGUGGGGUAGUGGCUUACCAAGGCUUUGACGGGUAGCCGGCCUGAGAGGGUGACCGGCCACAUUGGGACUGAGGUACGGCCCAGACUCCUACGGGGGGAAGCAGUGGGGAAUAUUGCGCAAUAGGCGGAAGCCUGAUGCAGCAACGCCGCGUGCGGGAUGACGGCCUUCGGGUUGUAAACCGCUUUCGCCUGUGACGAAGCGUGAGUGACGGUAAUGGGUAAAGAAGCACCGGCUAACUACGUG